UACGUAGGGUGCAAGCGUUAAUCGGAAUUACUGGGCGUAAAGCGUGCGCAGGCGGUUAUGUAAGACAGGUGUGAAAUCCCCGGGCUUAACCUGGGAACUGCAUUUGUGACUGCAUAGCUAGAGUACGGUAGAGGGGGAUGGAAUUCCGCGUGUAGCAGUGAAAUGCGUAGAUAUGCGGAGGAACACCGAUGGCGAAGGCAGCUCUCUGGGACGGUACUGACGCUGAGACGCGAAAGCGUGGGGAGCGAACAGG
rnacentral:rRNA from 1 species